rnacentral:lncRNA from 1 species
CUUGUCGCCUGAAGUUGGGCUCCUGGGAAGGGGCUCUAAAGCGAGGAUUUGGGGCAAGGAGAUUAUGGGAGAGUAGCAGACGUCAGAAGCCCAGUUGUGCAGCCCAGGGCGCUGCGCCCGGUAGACUCAGCAUGCGGAAGGUGGUCCUUGGAAACGCAUCAGCUGUCUCCCUCUGCAUCCUUUUGUCACAUGACCCAGCGGAACCAAUCAAGAUGCCAGUAGGAAUAGGCUUCCAUGAUUGGCUGGAGAGGGAGUCACCCGGGGCCAACCUCUCCUUCGGCUUCAAAGGGUGGCUUCCAGAAGGAGCAUGGGCCAGAACGGAAGUAAGGGCCACAUCAUUUCCGCCCACAUUCCACCGGCUAUAAAAUCAGUCACCAGGCUGCCCAGCAACAAAGAAUGCUGGGAAAUGUCUU